GGUGCAAUAGGGUAUUUCAUGAGUCAACAAUAUUCAGUGUAACCAGCAAACAUUUCAAUAUACCACAAUUUUUACGAAGAAGAUACAAUAAAAUUUAUGAUUUGUUAGUAGUAUAAAUUAAUUUAAAUAAAAUCUUACAGACUCUUAGACUCUGUCGAUUAAAUGUCACAUGUUUUAUAUGGCUCGACAUUUGGCCAUUAAUCCAAUGUUCUUUUGUAUUGAACGGAUAGCCAAAUAAAAAUAAUAGUAUAAUGU